rnacentral:rRNA from 1 species
AUUGAACGCUGGCGGCAGGCCUAACACAUGCAAGUCGAGCGAGCGGCGCACGGGUGAGUAAUGUGUGGGGACUGCCCGCUAGAGGGGGAUAACUCCUGGAAACGGUGGCUAAUACAGCAUACUGUCGGAUAACCCAUAUGGGAUUCGCUAGUAGGUAAGGUAAUGACUUACCUCGGCGACGAUCCCUAGCUGGUCUGAGAGGAUGAUCAGCCACACUGGGACUGAGACACGGCCCAGACUCCUACGGAGGCAGCAGUGGGGAAUAUUGCACAAUGGGCGCAAGCCUGAUGCAGCCAUGCCGCGUGUAUGAAGAAGGCCCUAGGGUUGUAAAGUACUUUCAGUCGGGAGGCGUUACCGACAGAAGAAGCUCCGGCUAACUCCGUGCCAGCAGCCGCGGUAAUUC